AUUAUUAAGAAAAAUUAUAUUGUUAGUAUAUAAAUUGUAUGAAAACAAAAAAUUAUGGCGGUAUUUUAAGCUUUUCAGAGGAAUUUGCUCUUUAAUGGAUAAAACACCUAAAUCUUACUAAAUUUAGUUAAACAGUUUGUAUACCACUAUUUAAGUAAUAAUUUGCUAUUAUUACUAAAAUUUAUAUUAAUUAAAAAAAGUUAAGUCAAGGUGCAGCAUAAAUUUUAGUAUGAAGUGAAUUACAUUUCUUUUAAGAAAAAUUUGUUGAAAAUAAAAUUUAGGAUUUGAAAGUAAAAUUUUAAUAGAAGGAAAAUUUGAAUUAAGCUCUAAAAUAUGUAC
rnacentral:rRNA from 1 species